CCUACGGGGGGCAGCAGUGGGGGAUAUUGCACAAUGGGGGAAACCCUGAUGCAGCGACGCCGCGUGUGGGAUGACGGUCCUCUGGAUUGUAAACCACUGUCCCCAGGGACGAAGAGGACGGUACCUGGGGAGGAAGCUCCGGCUAACUACGUGCCAGCAGCCGCGGUAAUACGUAGGGAGCGAGCGUUGUCCGGAAUUACUGGGUGUAAAGGGAGCGUAGGCGGGACUGCAAGUUGGGGGUCAAAUCUACCGGCUCAACCGGUAGCUGCACUCAAUACUGCUGUUCUUGAGUGAAGGAGAAGCAUGCGGAAUGCGUGGUGUAGCGGUGAAAUGCAUAGAUAUUACGAGGAACACCAGUGGCGAAGGCGGCCUACCGGCGCUUAACUGACGCUGAGGCUCGAAAGUGUGGGGAGCAAACAGGAUUAGAUACCCUAGUAGUC
rnacentral:rRNA from 1 species